AUGGCCGAAUGCUUCAAUAGGGUGCUCAAAGGUGCACGUGGAUUACAUGUGACGGCAAUAGUUCAAUACACAUUUGACAAGAUGAAUGCGUACUUUCUAAAGUACUCAAUGGAAACUGAUGCACAGAUAGUGGGUGAGAACCCGCGCAAGUACAAGUACAAGUUCCCACCCAAGGUUGAUGAAUGGUUAGAAUUUCAAUCACGAAAGGCGGACUCAGAAGAAGCUAUAUUAUAUGACAACGAAGAGUGGAAGUAUGAAGUGAAAGAGCCCGGAGGAACCACAAACGAUGGCCGGCAACAUGGAGGUCGGGCUUUCAAGGUGUCGUUAACACAAUGUGAUUGCUCUUGCGGGAGGCCAUUGUUGCUUCAUCUCCCAUGCUCACAUUUGUAUACCGCCGGUCGCGUUAGAAAUGUGGACAUCAAUCACCCACGCACCAUGAGGGAGUUGGAGUUCUCAAUCAUGACGGUCAAGAAAACAUGGGCUCCCCGCUUUCACCCAUACUUUGACCAAUCACAAUGGCCGGAGUACCAUGGAGUUCAACUAUGGCCGGAUCCG
rnacentral:rRNA from 1 species